GGAAUAUUGCACAAUGGGGGAAACCCUGAUGCAGCGACGCCGCGUGAGCGAAGAAGUAUUUCGGUAUGUAAAGCUCUAUCAGCAGGGAAGAAAAAAUGACGGUACCUGACUAAGAAGCACCGGCUAAAUACGUGCCAGCAGCCGCGGUAAUACGUAGGGUGCAAGCGUUAUCCGGAUUUACUGGGUGUAAAGGGAGCGCAGGCGGUGCGGCAAGUCUGAUGUGAAAGCCCGGGGCUCAACCCCGGUACUGCAUUGGAAACUGUCGUACUAGAGUGUCGGAGGGGUAAGUGGAAUUCCUAGUGUAGCGGUGAAAUGCGUAGAUAUUAGGAGGAACACCAGUUGCGAAGGCGGCUUACUGGACGAUUACUGACGCUGAGGCUCGAAAGCGUGGGGAGCAAACAGGA
rnacentral:misc_RNA from 1 species